rnacentral:rRNA from 1 species
GCUUACGGCCAUACCACCCUGAAUGCGCCCGAUCUCGUCUGAUCUCGGAAGCUAAGCAGGGUCAGGCCUGGUUAGUACUUGGAUGGGUGACCGCCUGGGAAUACCAUGUGCUGUAAGCC